rnacentral:tRNA from 1 species
AGAAACUUAGGUUAACUUUUAAACCAAGGGCCUUCAAAGCCCUAAACAGAGGACACCACCCCCCUAGUUUCUG